rnacentral:rRNA from 1 species
AUUGAACGCUAGCGGGAUGCUUUACACAUGCAAGUCGAACGGCAGCGCGGACUUCGGUCUGGCGGCGAGUGGCGAACGGGUGAGUAAUGUAUCGGAACGUGCCCAGUAGCGGGGGAUAACUACGCGAAAGCGUAGCUAAUACCGCAUACGCCCUACGGGGGAAAGCAGGGGAUCGUAAGACCUUGCACUAUUGGAGCGGCCGAUAUCGGACUAGCUAGUUGGUGAGGUAACGGCUCACCAAGGCGACGAUCCGCAGCUGGUUUGAGAGGACGACCAGCCACACUGGGACGGAGACACGGCCCAGACUCCUACGGGAGGCAGCAGUGGGGAAUUUUGGACAAUAGGGGCAACCCUGAUCCAGCCAUCCCGCGUGUGAGAUGAAGGCCUUCGGGUUGUAAAGCACUUUUGGCAGGAAAGAAACGUCGCGGGCUAAUACCCCGUGGAACUGACGGUACCUGCAGAAUAAGCACCGGCUAACUACGUG